GAUGAACGCUAGCGGCAGGCUUAAUACAUGCAAGUCGAGGGGCAGCGGGGGUAGCAAUACCUGCCGGCGACCGGCAAACGGGUGCGGAACACGUACAGAACCUUCCUCUGAGUGUGGGAUAGCCCGGAGAAAUCCGGAUUAAUACCACAUAGUAAUAUUUAGUGGCAUCAUUAGAUAUUUAAAGAUUUAUUGCUUAGAGAUGGCUGUGCGGCUGAUUAGGUAGNGGUGUAGGUAACGGCUCACCAAGCCUGCGAUCAGUAACUGGUGUGAGAGCACGACCAGUCACACGGGCACUGAGACACGGGCCCGACUCCUACGGGAGGCAGCAGUAAGGAAUAUUGGUCAAUGGACGCAAGUCUGAACCAGCCAUGCCGCGUGAAGGAUGAAGGUCCUCUGGAUUGUAAACUUCUUUUAUAGUGGGGACGAAACACUUCUUUUUCUAAGGAGCUUGACGGUACCAUAGGAAUAAGCACCGGCUAACUCCGUGCCAGCA
rnacentral:rRNA from 1 species